rnacentral:rRNA from 1 species
CUUGGUCAUUUAGAGGAAGUAAAAGUCGUAACAAGGUUUCCGUAGGUGAACCUGCGGAAGGAUCAUUAAAAAAAAGAGAAACGUCCCGUUUUUUUCAUAAGAAUGGGUUCUAUUCCCUUAAACCGUGUCUACAUACCUUUGUUGCUUUGGCAGGCCGCCUUCGGGCGUCGGCUCCGGCUGAUAGUGCCUGCCAGAGGACCCAAACUCUAUGUUUAGUGAUGUCUGAGUACUAUAUAAUAUUUAAAACUUUCAACAACGGAUCUCUUGGUUCUGGCAUCGAUGAAGAACGCAGCGAAAUGCGAUAAGUAAUGUGAAUUGCAGAAUCCAGUGAAUCAUCGAAUCUUUGAACGCACAUUGCGCCCCUUGGUAUUCCGAGGGGCAUGCCUGUUCGAGCGUCAUUAUAACCACUCAAGCCUGGCUUGGUAUUGGGGUUUUCGCGUGUUCGCGGCCCUUAAAAUCAGUGGCGGUGCCGUCUGGCUCUAAGCGUAGUAAUUUCUCUCGCUAUAGGGUUCCGGUGGUUACUUGCCAAAACCCCCCAUUUUUUCUAGGUUGACCUCGGAUCAGGUAGGGAUACCCGCUGAACUUAAGCAUAUCAAUAAGCGGAGGA